rnacentral:lncRNA from 1 species
UUUUUGUGAGAAAAACUUAAAAAUGGCUAUUUGAGAAAAUUGCUCUAUAUUUUGUUUUAUCUAAAAUACUUAAAAGUAUUUGAAUUAUUCGAAAUUUUUUCUGAAAAUCCAAAAAUCUGAUAUUAAUCCGAAAAAACUAUUCUUUUUUUUUAACCUUUUAACCCAAAUUAAUCGAAAAACCAGAACCGACCUGGAAUCGAAUAG